AGUUUGAUCAUGGCUCAGGAUGAACGCUAGCUACAGGCUUAACACAUGCAAGUCGGAGGGGCAGCAUAGGGUUUGCUUGCAAACUCUGAUGGCGACCGGCGCACGGGUGAGUAACGCGUAUCCAACCUGCCCAUGGCUAGGAAUAGCCCGUUAGAAAAGCGGAUUAAUGCCCUAGUGGGUCCUUUGCAGACAUCUAACGAGGACUAAAGGUUUUACCGGCCAUGGAUGGGGAUGCGUCCGAUUAGGUAGUUGGCGGGGUAACGGCCCACCAAGCCAUCGAUCGGUAGGGGUUCUGAGAGGAAGGUCCCCCACAUUGGAACUGAGACACGGUCCAAACUCCUACGGGAGGCAGCAGUGAGGAAUAUUGGUCAAUGGGCGGAAGCCUGAACCAGCCAAGUAGCGUGCAGGAUGACGGCCCUAUGGGUUGUAAACUGCUUUUAUGCGGGAAUAAAGAGGCUCACGUGUGGGCUGUUGCAUGUACCGCAUGAAUAAGGACCGGCUAAUUCCGUGCCAGCAGCCGC
rnacentral:rRNA from 1 species